AUGGAAGGCACAGAGUGUCUCCCGUGGAAACCCCAUCCUCGUCACCACCCAGACACUGGGCAUCCUGGCCGCAACUGCCUCCCAGCCGCCGCCUGGAGCUGCGUGGGUGGCUGCUUCUCCCCAGCAGAGCCAAGAUGUGAGUCUACUCGCAGAGCCAUAGGGGCUUUGGGAGAGCAAGCAGGGGAGGGUUCGUACGUCAUUCGCCCCGUCUCCCUCAAUGUGCUCGCAGCUGGAGGUGCACAGAAUGGUUUUAGGGAGUCCGUGAACACACAGUUGGGCUCUUUUCUCCCAAUGAUCAAAUAAUGACUCCUUAAAUGUAUCUUUAAAAAAGUUUUUUUUAACAUUUAUUUAUUUUUGAGAGACAGAACAUGAGCGGGGGAGGGGCAGAGAGAGAGAGGGAGACACAGAAUCCACAGUGGGAUCCAGGCUCUGAGCUGUCAGCACAGAGCCCGACGCAGGGCUUGAACCCACGAACCAUGAGAUCAUGACCUGAGCCGAAGUCAGAAGCUCAACUGACUGAGCCGGCCAGGCGCCCCCUCCUUAAAUGUAUCUUUGAAAAAACUUCUAAUGGACAAAUCAAACCCUUAAUUUGAUUCACAUUAUAAUUUAGGAUGAGGCGAUAUAUAUUCGAGUUAAAAAACACAAGUUGAUUUAAAGGAAAAUAUUCAGCAAAUAAUAAAAUAUGUGCAGUGUGGACA
rnacentral:lncRNA from 1 species